AUUGAACGCUGGCGGCAGGCCUAACACAUGCAAGUCGAACGUGUGGCGGACGGGUGAGUAAUGUCUGGGAAACUGCCUGAUGGAGGGGGAUAACUACUGGAAACGGUAGCUAAUACCGCAUACCAUCGGAUGUGCCCAUAUGGGAUUAGCUAGUUGGUGGGGUAAAGGCUCACCAAGGCAACGAUCCGUAGCUGGUUUGAAAGGACGACAAGCCACACUGGGACUGAGACACGGACAAGACUCCUACGAGAGGCAGCAGUGGGGAAUUUUGGACAAUGGGGGAAACCCUGAUCCAGCCAUCCCGCGUGUAUGAUGAAGGCCUUCGGGUUGUAAAGUACUUUUGGCAGAGAAGAGGUAUCUGCAGAAUAAGCACCGGCUAACUACGAGCCAGCAGCCGCGGUAAUUC
rnacentral:rRNA from 1 species